AUGGCGAUUACGCGGCGCGGUCCGAGCGGGUGGGUUCUGCUCCUGGCGAGAGGAGGGGAGGGGAUCUGGAGGGAGAGGCUGGUCGAAGUUAGGGUUCGCGAGUGGGGAAAAUUUGGGAAAUGGUCCGUGGACCACGGGAGCAACGACGGGGGUGGGGUGUGGGUGGAUCACGUUCAUCCAUUGGCGAGAUUGGCGGCGGUGCAGAAGGAGAGCUCCUACGCACCACCGGUUCUUUACAGCCUAUGUGAAUUGCAGCAGCGCCAGAUCGACGUUGUUGUUGGUGUAUGA
rnacentral:rRNA from 1 species